rnacentral:rRNA from 1 species
CCCUUAGAUGUUCGGGGCCGCACGCGCGCUACACUGAAGGAAUCAGCACGUCUUUCUCCUUGUCCGAAAGGACUGGGUAACCCGCUGAACCUCCUUCGUGCUAGGGAUUGGGGCUUGUAAUUCUUCCCCAUGAACGAGGAAUUCCCAGUAAGCGCGAGUCAUAAGCUCGCGUUGAUUACGUCCCUGCCCUUUGUACACACCGCCCGUCGCUACUACCGAUUGGAUGGUUUAGUGAGAUCCUCGGAUUGGUCCCGGCGCGGCCUCUGGUCGUGCCGGAGUGCCGAAAAGAAUGUCGAACUUGAUCAUCUAGAGGAAGUAAAAGUCGUAACA